CACACACCCACCCACUCCCAUGAAUGUUCCCAACAUUAUUUUACUUGGCUUAUAUUUUUUUCUUAUACUUGUUUAUAUGUUCAACUUGAAUGAGCAUGAGCAGCCAAAAACAAAAUUCUAAAAAAUGUUUUCUACAUGGAAUAGUGCAGAAUCGUCUUUAAAUCAGACCAGAAGUUCACUGCCUCUGGAGGUGCCUGGCCCUGUGAUGUAGCUCUAUACCCUUGGUGCAUUUUUCUUAUUUUGGAUUCAUUUACAAAUGGCUUUGUUUUGGAGACACAUUGCACACUUUGAAAAACUGGAGAUCUGAGGUGGUGACAAACCAGGACGUGGAAUCACUGAAUAGGACAAUCGGAGCUUUAUUCUAGUUGUUCUUUGAGCAUUUGAGCAUGAAGCUGCCUCUACUGAGAAGUACUCACGUGGAUAUCACAUAACAAAGAUGUGAUUAAUGACGGAAAAGCACACUGAGAACGGACUGCUCCGGGCCAGAAUUUAUGUGUAGGAAUAAUCUGGCUCCUAAAAUAUUCCAUUUGCAAAAAUGUACUACAUUUGGGACCUUGGUCCCUCAAGGCAUCUGUCUUGUGGAAUGUCCAUGUGGACACUGCCUAAGGGACUUUUUUUUUUUUUUUUUUAAUUGGCUCAAGAACAGAGAACCAGGUUUGGGUGGAUUAGAAAGAUAAAACGUCUCCAUACUGUCUUUUCUGCCUUUAACGCACACUGGCUAGGAUUGGUAAACAUUUAAGUUAACAUGCUCAAGGUUGCACAGUAAAUGGAAGGGCUGGGAUCUGAAUAUCCUGUACUACACACCUAAGUGGAAUCAAUAUUAUAGAGGCCUUAUAAGCUAUGCCAAAGGAGUCAGGCUUUAAAGACUUAAGAACCUCAACAGCAGUGUUUAGCUCCAAUUGAUGAUUAAUGGGCAGAAGAGUAUGUCUUAAGAAAAACAGAAAUAGGGAAGAUUGAAGCAAAAUUUGAAGCAGUUAGGAUUAUUCACAAUUGAAGAAAUGGUUCCCCUGCUGCUUUCCUGAAGUGUACAGGUACCAAAACCACAUGUCCUCCUGGACAACCUAGGAUUAUCCAGGCUUUUGCUUCUUAAAAAUGCGAGCUCUGGAAGAGGAGCCCUGUCAGAUUUUCAUUCAACAAACAGUUCUGGUUUACCAACUCUUACAUGGAAACAACCACCUCAGAAGUGAACUUUGAUUAAAGAAAGCUGCUUUUAUAAAGAGUUUUUUGAGCAAUAAA